UCAUGUCACCCAACAUAUCAUCAUAACUUUUGUAAUAAAUGUGCCCAUUGCCUAAGAGGAAAAAAAUUAAAAUGAUUCUCCCAUGAAGCUUCUUAAAUGUUGAAAUACACCAGCCUCCAUACUCCAGUCCACACUGAGAGAGUAAAUUUUAUUUAAAAGUGUAAGAAUUUGCAUAAUCAUCAUCCUAUAAGCUAAAAGUUGUAGGGUAAAAAAUAUAUAAAUGAACUGUAUAGCACCCCUGUGUGCAAAACCAUGUGACUGUGAGGGAUGAAGAGUUAGACAGGCCCCUGAUAGGGAGAGGGGCCAUGACUAGGUAAUAAAGAUGGCUGACUACUUCCUCACCCUCCUGACCUGAGACAAAAGCCUGGAAGUGGGCUUUUCUCUCACCAACAGACCCCCCUAUUGAUGGAUUGGCUCAACAAGUUUAAGGCCAGAUCCAUACACGUUUACACAGCAGCUGUGGGCAAUCAACCAUCCUGUCUUUCAUCAAACUGACCACCCCUAAAUUAAGGGAGGAAGACCCUUCAAAGCCCUUGAGACCCCCAGGCCUCAAGGAUGGGUGGGGCUUCUUCUUGUACUUUGUACUGCCCACCUCUACUUUAUGGAGUGUCUGUCUCUCUAUGUGUUUGUUCUGCGAGAGUUUCCUCACCCCUAAUAAAAGCCUUUUUUUUUAUAGGCUGAUUCUGUCUGCUCCUAUCUGGUGUUGGAGAUUUCUCACCCUGCUGCUCUCUGACAUGCUCAAUAUUUUUCCUGCCAUUUAAUUAUUUAACUGGCAAAGAAAAAUCAACCUGAUCAAGACCCCUAGGUGGUAACAACCGCACAAGUAAUACUUAGUGUGAAUAUUCAGGGUGGGGAAGGAUGAGUUGCCAUAGGAACUCCGAGGUGGAAGGAAGCUCCUCCCAUUGAAAGAGAUCAGAGAAAUUUGGUCAAAAGUGUAUCCCGUGAGAUAGUCCCUGAAGAACAGAUUCUGUUAAGCCAGAUGUGAGGCAUCAAGGUCAAACAAGCCACAAAGUAAAUGAUGGCCACUUAAGAAGUGGGAGCACACUCCCUUCCCUCUGGCUUAAAAACUCCUAUCUUAGCAGAGAGAAGACUGGAGAAAGAAGGUAUGGAAAAAGAAAGGAUGUGAGAACAUAAAGAGAUGGAUGCUGGGCAGAAGGGAAAAGGAGAAAUGAGAAAUGAAAAAAAAAAUACAGUUGCCUUGAAGCCUGCCUACCUUCUACAUACAGGGAACCCCAGACAUGCUAUUCAAAGCCAAGUUCAAGCCAAGCUCUCCUUGUUCCCCAUUUCUCAUUUCUUGCUUACUUCUCAGACUACUGCUGUCUGGCAUUGUCCCUGUCAUUCCAUUUGAACCUUUCUUAUGUAAGGAUCCCCACACCCGAUUUCCUAUUGGCUGAUUUCAUCUUGCCUGGCUUUUCUGAGUUAUUCACCUUGUGUCCUCUCCCACAAUUGCCAAUCCUACCUAUAACUAGUAGGUUUUGACUUGGGGGGAGGGGGCGGGGAGUGCAAUUUUCUCCUCCCAAGUUCAUAUAUCCAUCCAUGUCUGAUACAGAUUUUGGUCGUCUCAGUGGAAUUGGAGCAGGUGCCAUUGACAGCAGUGAGUAGAGAUCUGGAGCAAUCUAGAGCAUCCUGCAACCGACAGAAUGGUCCUACAUCACAGUGACUUGCCUGGCUCUAAAUGUCAGUUGUCCCAAAGCUGAGAAACCACUGUGCUGUGCUUUGGGUGUAUGCCCCCAAAGGUUCCUAUUUAGAAAGCUUGAUCCCUAGUGUGGAAUCGUUUAGAGGAGGCGUCUAGUGGAGGAUGACUAGGUCACAUUGGAGCAUUGCGCCCUGGAAGAUUAAGGCAAUUAUCUUGAGAGUGGGUUGUUGAAAGACCAUCGCUGACACUGGCCCUUCUGCAUGCACCUGUUUCUCUUUCCAAUCCUUUGCCAAAUUGUGAUGAAGCCUGGAGGCUCUUCCCCAGAGGUUGAACCGAUAACGCCACCCAGCCUUAGAUCCCCAGUCUCCAAAAGCUAUAAAAUCUCUCACUGAACCUGGAACUCAUGGUUUAGCCAGACUAACUGGCCAGCAAACUGCACAGACCCUGCCCCCAUCUCCACAUCCCCAACCCUGGGAUUUCAGGACCACUAUGCCUGAUGUUUGCACAGCAAGUACUUUCCAACUGAGCCGUCUCUCCGGCCAUCCCUAUCUCCACUCUUUUCUUUUUGACUCAUUUCCAGUAAAAUGCCAUUACUUUGGUU